UCAAAGGCUCUUUUAAGAGCCACCCAUCUUUUCUGGGAAGUGCUG
rfam:Felis catus isolate Cinnamon breed Abyssinian chromosome B2, whole genome shotgun sequence.